CCUACGGGAGGCAGCAGUGAGGAAUAUUGGUCAAUGGGCGGAAGCCUGAACCAGCCAAGUAGCGUGCGGGAUGAAGGCCCUACGGGUCGUAAACCGCUUUUGCACGGGGGUAACACCCUCCACGUGUAGAUGUCUGCAGGUACCGUGCGAAUAAGGACCGGCUAAUUCCGUGCCAGCAGCCGCGGUAAUACGGAGGACCCAAGCGUUAACCGGAUUCAUUGGGCUUAAGGGGAGCGUAGGCGGUCGGUCAAGUGAGCGGUAAAAUCGCGCGGCUCAACCGGGAACCGCAGUUGAAACUGGACGCCUUGAGUGUACAACAGGCAGGCGGAAUUCGUGGUGUAGCGGUGAAAUGCAUAGAGAUCACGAGGAACCCCGAUUGCGAAGGCAGCCUGCCGGGGUGCGACUGACGCUGAGGCUCGAAGGUGCGGGUAUCAAACAGGAUUAGAUACCCCAGUAGUC
rnacentral:rRNA from 1 species